ACAGAGCAAAGGAAGGCCCCAGCUGUCAGUCAGAAGGCCAGGAUCAGCCCUGAUCACCGGCCGACCUAGGCACCCUACCCAUGCAGGAAUUUCGUGCACCAGGCCUCUGGUAUAAAAAUAAUCUUAGAAGAUUUAAUCUAAGAGAGGAAGGGAGAAGGAGCGAUAGAAACGUCAAGGAUGAAAGAGAAUGAUUGAUGUGCUACCUCCUGCACACGCCCCACUGGGGAUCAAGCCUGCAACCUGGGCGUGUGUCCUUGACUGGAAUCGAACUUGGGACCGGAGAUUCUUCAGUCUGUAGGCCAACGCUCUAACCACUGAUCAAACCACCUAAGGCAAUAGGAAUUCUUUUGAAAGAGCUAAACUCAGAUUAAGUCUCAGAUUAAGGUACAGUUCAUUUAAUUUGCUAGCCCAAAAUCUGGAUAAAUUAAGCAUAUAUUUCUAAAACUUUAUUUCCAGCUUUAUUUUCUUUUAUUGCUCUCUUGCAGCCAAAUUCUGCUCCUCAUGUUUUCCCUAAAUGUUUCUAACAUUCUCUUGACUUUAUGCACAAGUUAGUAUAACAAAUGCUUCCAAGCAUUGUCUAUUGAACUAUGUCCACCUUUCAAAGCUCACCUGAAAUGCUUGCUUCCUUCUCCAUGAAGUCUUUGCUUCUCAUCCCACUCUUACCAUCCAACUACUAGAAACCCCUUCCCUUUAAACCUCCAUAGCACUUUGUAUUUUGUUAAUUGUCUCUAUAGUCCAUAAUAGAGCAGUGAAUUUGCAACAUGUGACAAUACUUUGUAAACUGUAAAGUAUUAUACAAAUGUAUGAUGUUAUUGUUCUUAUCCUCAGAAAUAGAUUCUAAACUCCUUUAGGGCAGAGACCAAUAUUUUAUUCAACUUUUUGUCCCCAUUGUCUAACAUGUUACCCAGCACCUGGUUAUUUAAUAAAUGUUUGUUAAAUAGCAUAUAGUAAUUCUUUUCUGUUUUCCCUUGUAUUAAUUCUUCUGGGGUGGCCAUGGGUCUUAAAGAAAUGUUUCUUGUCUUUAUUAACCUAUUCAAAAAUUUUGCAAAAGCCUCUGUGCUGUUUCAUAGAAGAAGUUAAAAUAUGGAUCUUCCCAUGGAGUUCCCACUGAGUAUGUAAAAUUGUUUACUUCCAGGCAUAAUGCUCUUUGAUGAGUAGAUAAUGAGGAAUUUUCCUUGGGUUGGAGCAGUGUACAAAUUUGUGCCUGGCAUAGAUGAGGCACUCAUGGCACUCAUCUGUGGUUAGAGGUAAGGCCUUCUAUGAUGCCCUUAGAACACAAGCAGAGCUACCCAAACUGGAAGUGCAGACACUGGUCCUUGGAGUGGCACAUUUCAGAUACCUGUACUUUGGAAUAGCAGGUCAGAUCUUGUUUUAUGGUGCCACCAGAAGGAUUUUCCCUGUCUUUACAUGUCAUAGAAGGCAAUGAAUUUCAGAUCAUCUAUUCCUUAUGGCAGUUAUGGACAGAUGGUAAGCAUCUUUACAUGUGCUUGUUUGUCAUCCAUCUUUCUCCUUUAGUGGUGUGUCCACCCCUCUCCCAUUUAGAUUGUUUGCCUCCUUAUUAUUGACUGGUUAGAGUUCUUUUGUGCAUUCAGCAUACAAGGAUUUAAUCAGAUAUGGGGUUUGGAAACACUGUUUCCGAGUCUGUGGCUUUUACUUUUCAUAGUAGUAUCUUUCAGAGACCAGAAGUUUAAAAUUUUUAUUGUCUUAUUUAUUAAUGUUGUCUUUUAUGGUUCAUGCUUAUUUGUGUCCUAAGAAAUUUUUACCUAAACCAAGGUCACAAAUAUUUUCUCCUGUUUUCUCUUAGGAGUUUUAUAGCUUUAGUUCUAACAAUUAGAACUGUUAUCCUUUUGGAGUGAAUUAUUUGUAAAAUGUCUAUGUAUUAAUCUUUAAUAAAAAGUUUUUACAAAAGUUC